rnacentral:rRNA from 1 species
UCCUACGGAGGCAGCAGUGAGGAAUUUUGGACAAUGGACGCAAGUCUGAUCCAGCAAAGCCGCGUGCAGGACGAAGGCCUUCGGGUUGUAAACUGCUUUUGUACGGAACGAAAAGGUCUGCUUUAAUACAGUGGGCUCAUGACGGUACCGUAAGAAUAAGCACCGGCUAACUACGUGCCAGCAGCCGCGGUAAUAUGUAGGGUGCGAGCGUUAAUCGGAAUUACUGGGCGUAAAGCGUGCGCAGGCGGUUAUAUAAGUCAGAUGUGAAAUCCCCGGGCUCAACCUGGGACCUGCAUUUGAGACUGUAUAGCUAGAGUACGGUAGAGGGGGAUGGAAUUCCGCGUGUAGCAGUGAAAUGCGUAGAUAUGCGGAGGAACACCGAUGGCGAAGGCAAUCCCCUGGACCUGUACUGACGCUCAUGCACGAAAGCGUGGGGAGCAAACAGGAUUAGAUACCCUGGUAGU